rnacentral:rRNA from 1 species
CUGUACAGUUCAGAGUUUGAUCCUGGCUCAGAUUGAACGCUGGCGGCAGGCUUAACACAUGCAAGUCGAGCGGGGUGAUGUAGCUUGCUACAUUACCUAGCGGCGGACGGGUGAGUAAUGCUUAGGAAUCUGCCUAUUAGUGGGGGACAACAUUCCGAAAGGAAUGCUAAUACCGCAUACGCCCUACGGGGGAAAGCAGGGGAUCUUCGGACCUUGCGCUAUCAGAUGAGCCUAGGUCGGAUUAGCUAGUUGGUGGGGUAAUGGCUCACCAAGGCGACGAUCCGUAACUGGUCUGAGAGGAUGAUCAGUCACACUGGAACUGAGACACGGUCCAG